UACGGGGGGGGCAAGCGUUGUUCGGAAUUACUGGGCGUAAAGGGCUCGUAGGCGGCCAACUAAGUCAGACGUGAAAUCCCUCGGCUUAACCGAGGAACUGCGUCUGAUACUGGAUGGCUUGAAUCCGGGAGAGGGAUGUGGAAUUCCAGGUGGAGCGGUGAAAUGCGUAGAUGUCGGGAGGAACAACGGUGGGGAAGGGGGCAUCCUGGACCGGUAUUGACGAUGAGUGAGCGAAAGCCAGGGGAGCAAACGGG
rnacentral:rRNA from 1 species